UAGUCAUAUGCUUGUCUCAAAGAUUUAACCAUGCAUGUCUAAGUAUAAACAAUUCUAUACUGUGAAACUGCGAAUGGCUCAUUAAAUCAGUUAUAGUUUAUUUGAUAAUAUCUACUACUCGGAUAACCGUGGUAAUUCUAGAGCUAAUACGUGCGUAAAAACCCGACUUACGAAGGGUUGUAUUUAUUAGAUACAAAACCAAUGCAGGGUAACCUGGUUUUUUGGUGAUUCAUAAUAACUUCUCGGAUCGCAUGGCUCACGCCGGCGACGUUUCAUUCAAGUUUCUGCCCUAUCAGCUUUGGAUGGUAGGGUAUUGGCCUACCAUGGCUUUAACGGGUAACGGAUAAUUAGGGUUAGAUUCCGGAGAGGGGGCAUGAGAGAUGGCCACCACAUCCAAGGAAGGCAGCAGGCGCGUAAAUUACCCAAUCCUGACACAGGGAGGUAGUGACAAUAAAUAACAAUGCCGGGCCUUUCUAGGUCUGGCAAUUGGAAUGAGAACAAUUUAAAUCCCUUAUCGAGGAUCAAUU
rnacentral:rRNA from 1 species